GACUGCGGCGCUGGCUACUACCCCGCCUGGGAACGCCGUCCUACCCCUCUCUGCGCUUCGCCUCUGCUAUCCCUCCCGUGUCUCAAGCCGCGGCGAAACUUUGCUCAACUUGAUGGUGCUCUGCGGUCUCCAGGGCUGGGGGCCGCACGACGCGAAUCCCCGACACUGGGUUGUCGGGCUCUAUCCGAAGUUUAAGUUCCCUUCUCUUAUUCCUUUGUCCUGGAUCCAACUGCAGCGCCAGGACUCAGGCUUCCUUUGGGAAAAUGGUACCGGUUGAGAAGUAUGGAGAGGCGGCCACUCGGCUCCCGGCGACCCGGGAACCAGGGCGUUUGCUCCCCCUCCCGACCGAGCGGGCGUCCGGCGUCAGCACCGCGGACAGCGCAUCGGUGCGGCAGCCGCGGGGCGGGUGGCGUUGGGGCUGCGGGGGCUGGAGGCGCGCGGCGAGGCCACUCACCCCGCCGCACCGUGCUCCCUAACCCUCCCCGCUUUCCUCUCUACCUCCCGCGUGCCCCUCCCCAACCCGAGGCAGGUGCAGUCGCUGAAGCAGGGUGCUGACAGGGCGGGGACGCUGCGGAACGGAGACAGGGGAGGAGUCAAGAGCGGGUGGGGGACCGAGGUGCCAUCGGAGGAGAAAGCUCCCAGGCCUGGCGGGCUGCCUGGUCUCUCCUCUAGCUACCCCAGUUCACCUACCCCAGCAGCCCAGGGGAGGGAGACUGAGUAAGACCUUCGCUGCGGUAAUGGGUGGGGGAAUGGAGGAGGUGUAGGGGAAGCUCACUAGCCGCGCCCCCGGGCGGCGCGGGGACCGGUACGCUCUGGAGCGCCUCGGCGAAAUGGUGGCCCCUCCGCCCCACCGCGGCAGGAAAAGACGGCGGUGCUCUGCGCUGCCACGGGCGCUUCUCUGCUGGACACUUGCCGGUUUUGCUGGGGCCACAAAAUUUUGUGGCGAGGAACACCCUCGGUAAAGCCAGAAAACCAUCUUUUUGGGGGCAGACAGCUCCUUCUCUGUCCUCUUCGCUUCUACUGGCUGUGGGAAGGAGGACCCUCAUGAUGAUGAUAUGAUAUAGGUGGCAGAAAAUAAAGAUAACGAUGGUGACUGUGCUUAGAUACCCCAGGUGGGUGAAGUGUAGCGAAAUGCGGAGCGCCCCCCACAGCCCACUCCAUCCAUCCCCAAUCCAGGCUCUCUGGCCUCCAGAAAUAGGAAGCCCUCCAAGCUAAGUUCAACCCAAAACGUGGGUGGCAGUAGCAUCAGUCAGCUGGGUCAGGGUGCUCAAAAUGUUCCCUCCACCACUCACUGAGCGUUGCACCACUUUGAAACCAGGUUCCUCUGACCCCAGCCCGACACAGACUGCGAGGUGGGCUGGGGGCAGGAGAGCUGCAGAAAAGCUGAAAGGUGUCUGACUUAGGACGUUGAUUUGCCAAAACGAGGGUGUAUUGGAGACUUAGGGCUUGUCAGAAAUGCUGCUCCAGUUUAUAGGUGGAGCAAACUGCACUCCCCCUCUGUGUUUGGGAGGGGAUAGAAGAGGAGAGAUGCCACCACCACCGUAUUCAGAACUAGGCUUCCUAGCACUGGGUGGCAGAUGGCUAGUUUUACACGGUUCUUCUUAGAAUGGGGCAGGGGAGGUUUUGUGUGAGAGGAAGAAUAUCUCAUCCACCCAGAAAGCUGAACCUCCUCCUUUUCUGGAGCACAGUGGGAGGCUUAUACAAACACAAAUUAUUGUCAUUGCAGACUAUUAUUAUUAUUGUCAAAAUGAAGUCAACUGUUCUUUCUCCAAGUCUUUGCUUCCCUUGGACUCUGCACAGAUGCUGCCCUAGGCUCUGUUUCCCGUAUCCCCACCCUUACAAGCUUCUGCAGGCAGCCAGGACAGCCCAGCCAUGGACCUCUAGGGCUGGAUUCCACUUGGCUGGUCAGCUCUGACAGCUUUGAGAAGUGUCGUUCCAGGAGUUGGCCCUGGAGACUCCAGAUCCAGCUGAAGGGCAUUGCCAGGCCUCUCAGAGGCUGUCUCUACCCAGACUUCCCAAGCAGGGACAGGGUGCUUUGCUGCAGUGUUCUGUGCCUCUGGGACAAGCUCCUUGCCCAGUUGGCAGAGAGCCUGCCUUGUCCUCCAACUUGUUAUUCUUGCCUGAUUAGCAGUAAAUCUCUGGCAUCAAUCUUGACUCUGAUGACCUAAUCAAUUUAUGUAAUAGGGAAAUGAUGAGUUCCCUGCACAUAGGCACGGGUCCUUUAGGGAACCAGCCCCAUGAUGAAUGCGGCUUUUGCCCACUGAAUCAAUAUUUAAGCUACUGACUUCCAGCUGGCUGUGCUCAAAGCCUUUCCUUCAGCCCUGAAUUGCUGCAGCAGCCUCCUAAGGAUGAGGGCAUGCUGUGUCAGAUGUCUCCCUGCUUAGGUCCAUCCUGCCUGCACCUGCCAGUCAUUGCUGUGAUCAUGAACAUCCGAUCUGAUCACAUGACUUAUGUCCCUAAACCACAGUCUCCAAUGGUUCCUUCAAAGCUAUAAGGAAUUUAGCCUUUAAACCCUUGAGGUUGGCAUUCAAAGCCCUUGAUGAUGGGUUUCCCAACAAAUUAUUCCAACCUCACCGUCUACUACCUUUUACUUAUUCCCCAAGUACUCCAUACUCAACCCAGUCACCAGGCUUUUGCUUGUGCGGUGGCCCCUAAUAGAAUGCCAUCUUCUUUCUUCUUCACUACAGUUCUUUAAAAAAACACCGGCUCAACUCAGAUUAGAAAUUUUUUUUUACAUAAAACUUCUCCUUUGUAGGAUAUUUUCACCCAAUCACUUUGAUGCCAUCAUUGGAACCCCAUCAUUAUUGAAUCUGCCAUGUACUCAAGAAUUUCAGAGAAGAUACCUGAACAGUCUUUCUGCCUAUAAAGCCAACCUCCUCUGGUCAGCUCAUCCCGAGACAGGGAACCAGCAGGCCCUGUUCCAGAAGGAGUCAUAAGACCCGCCCCAAGGUCUCUGAGAAGACAGAGGUGGUGGAGAGCAGGCUGAAACCAGCUGGAACCAAGAUGGCCACAAAAAAGGACCUCAGCUACCCUCACUGCUCAUGACACCGGCGAGGCUGAAGAAGGAGAAGCUUCUAGACCUGGUAUGUGUCAACUCUAACACAUCCAUCUGUCCACUUUGCUAGCAACUGAGCUUGGGCAAAUACCUGCAAAACAGAAAGCAGCUAGGAGAGGAGGCAUUAUUAGGACUGCAGUCAGACUGUGGCAAAAAUAACUUUUCAAAGCCCUUCACACACGGGCUCAUUUGUUCAUCAUGAAAACCUGAGUUGGCAGUGGGAGCCUUUUGAUGGAGAAAAAAGCUUCUGACCUGUCCUUACUCGUGAGUGGCCUGAAGGGGUGAGCUGGGCUUCUCUGACCUGCUGGUCAUCUCUGCUGGUGAAGGAGAGAGAAUGUGCUGGAUGUUCUCUGCAUGUGGAUUGUACUUGUUGCUGUCAUAUUUCCUGAGCAAAGCCCAGCAUCCCUGGAACACUGGAAAGCACUAGAAGGUGCAAGCAUUGAAGACACCAGUGUGGCCAUUUCAGGAGAGAAUGGCAACCACAAGCCCUAAUUAAUGAAAUUCCUUACGGCAGCUCCACUUCAGACAGUUGGCUCAAAUUCUCAUCUUCAGCCCCCAGACAUCCAUGAGACACACGGUUGAGUAUAAAUUACAGGGCCCCCUGGACCCCAAAUGUCCCAAACACCAUUGUAACAAAAGAAUUCUAAGCUGAGAAACUUAAGACCUGAUUUUUUAAACAUGGAAUUGGGGAACCAGUUAUUCUAUGGAAGCUUUUGUAAAUAUUUUCCAUUGAAUGAUAAAGAAAACCUGUACUCAAAUUACACAAACAGAAUUUCAACCACAGAUGAGACAAAUUAUGUAAGUUGUCAUAGCACAUGCUAUGUUGCAAGCACUAUUUUAAGUGCUUUAGAUAGAUUAACCCAUUUAGUCCUCACAACAGCCCUUUUAGUAGAUUACAGUCCUUACCAUCUUACAUAUGAGGAAAUUGAGGCACAGGGAGAUUGAGUCAUUUGCCCAAGGUUAUACAACUAGCAAAUGUUAGAGCCAGGGCUUGACCUUGGGCAAAUGUCAGAGCUGGGGUUUGAACUUGGGCAGCCUGGCUCCAGAAUUGGCCCAACAAGUGGAGCCCCCGGGGCUGUGUAGUGAGACAGGCAUCAGUGUGAACAUGCGACCUGGGCUGGAGUGCUCCGGGCAGAGGACACAGCACAAAGAAGCAAAUCUGUACUCAGUAGGGUUUCACAGAAGGGUAAGUUGUGAUUGUCAAAGCUUUCUGUUGUGCAGUUUGGGUUUUUUCCCCAGAGAGGAAACAGUCUACAUGGACCAUCUUUAGGCCAGUCAGGCCAGAAGGAGGGUUCUGGGCUGGUGGGGAAGGGGGUGCAGCUAAGCGGGAGCAGAGAGGAGGCGGCCAGUUGCCCCCCCAGCCCCACCUCCUACGGAGCACUCCUGAGGCUUCCUUUGCCUCUGUCCCCUCCCUCGGCACUGGGUCCCUUCCACAUUCACACAGACCCCAGAACAGUCCCUGCUCAGCUGCUGGGGGAGGCACGCCUGGCUGGUGUCUGUCGGUCAUUUCAUCUGUGCCUUCUGCCUCAGUAGCCCGCCCCAGAGCAGUGCUGAGAGGUCACAGGCUGGUGGGCAGAAUUUCAGGCAGGUUCAAGGCUGUGGGAUGGUCUGUGUCUCUAUAGUUCCAGGGCUUGGGGGCCAAAUUGGUUAAGGUCACAGCCACCCCAGCCAUCAUCAGAUAUGGGAAUGACCAUAAUAGGUGCUAUGGUCUGAGUGUUUGUGUCCUCCCCAAGAUUCGUGUGUUGAAAUCCUCACCCCCAAGGUGAUGGUAUUAGGAGGUGGGGUCUUUGA